UAAGAGGGAACCCGGUGGGAAUCCGGGACUGCCCCGCAGCGGUGAGCGGGAACGACCGCCGUCAUACGCACUGGGCCCGGCCGGGUCUGGGAAGCGACGGCCAGUAGGUGUCUGCCUCGGCAGACGUGCCCGCGAGUCCGAAGACCU
rnacentral:misc_RNA from 2 species